rnacentral:lncRNA from 1 species
AUGGUGGAGAGGGUCUUUCAGGCCAUGCAACCCGCAAAGCUUCUCGCAGGGGCACGAGCAGAGUGUUUUGCAUCGGAGAGCCCCACCUGCAGAGUCCCUUGCUGGCAGUGGAUUUGGACAGCCGCUCUCAGUCUCUGGCUACAGCAGCCUGGGACCCCUUUCAACUUCCCCAGGUAUUUCUGGGAGAGCCCAGAGAUGUCACACAUGAACUCUCACGGCCUAUGA